UCUGUGUCUGUUUACAAAUCGGGAAAAGUUACGGUUCUACGCCGUACCGUUUUGUUAUUAUAUUAUGUGUGUUUACUUUCUCACAGGUAACCUGUGUAUUAAUAGUGUAGACCUAUUGGAGUUAGCCUUACUUAUUCUUUUAUAUUGUGAUAUUAAGGAUUUAUUUUUUCUAGCUUACAUUCUUGAUCAUGUUUAUUUAUGAAAAUAAACAUAUAGGUAAGUGAAUAAUGUUAAACUCAAAUCAAAAGGUUAUUUGCGAGGCGUUUUUUUUUGUGGCACCUCGUGGUGUAUUAUUUAGACUAGGCCAAGGAAAUUAGCAUAUGUUAAUUUGUCAACCAGUUAUACAUUUACUUACAGGUUACAAUAUGUUGACGUCUUUAUUAACAUUUUCCCGGUUUCAAUGUUUCUUAUCGCAUUUAAUUUUAUUAUGUCGUUUAUUUCCUUUUUGAAAAUUUUAUAGAUUUCUAUCUUUGUUUCUUUU
rnacentral:lncRNA from 1 species